rnacentral:rRNA from 2 species
AAUCUUACCGGGUCCGGACAUACCGAGGAUUGACAGACUGUUAACUGCAACACAAGCUGCUAAGUUUUAAACUUAAUAGCUCUUUCAUGAUUAUAUGAUAGGUGGUGCAUGGCCGUUCUUAGUUCGUGGAGUGAUCUGUCUGCUUAAUUGCGUUUCAAAAUUUAAACCUGAGCGACAAGGUGCUGCUAUCGAAACUGUCUUUGAGUGUGAACUAUAAGUCUUUUGACUUAUGACCAUCACUCUAGACGUUUAUGUUUUGGUGUUGGCCCUUGAUGCUCAUUUGAACGCAACGGACGUGAUUGCAACCCCUUGUUGAGAUUUAUCCGAUCUCUACGUUCACUGAACCACACUCUUUAGCGAGAGCAGUGGGGAUGUGGAUAAACUCGGGGGACUGCUGACUAUAAACUUUUCUCAAACCAGAGGAAGGUUGCGGCAAUAACAGGUCUGUGAUGCCCUCAGAUGU